AGUGACAAUUAAAUGUAUUACGAGGGUCGUGAAGGUAGCUUAACUUGAGAACUCUUGGUUUUAUGAAAAGUUGAUUACACAGGCCAAAAACAACUCCUGCCGUCUCAGAAUUAAUUACUUUUGUCUGACUUUCAUGGAGGAUGGUCUCUGGUUAAAAUCUGGGCAAAGGCCGAAAAAACCCACAUAAACUUGGUAUUAGAGAACACCUAGAGAGAGAGAAAGAGGAACUUAAGAGUCAUUUAAACCCUUCGGUUUAAAGAGGAGGAUGCUGAGGAUGUAGAUGAGAAGUUACCUGUGCAAGGCAAAAGGGUUACUUAGCGUCAGAACCAGGACAACGACUUCUGUCUCCCAGAUCUCCUAGCUACCAGUCCUGGGCCAUUUUUUUAAAAUAAUCCCAACUUUUCUUUAAAAAAACAGGCAUUUCAGUAAGCUGAUUAUUUUCAUGGAUUGCUCAUCUAUUUUUUCUCAAUAGUCUAAAAAUGAAGGGAGGUGGCUGGUACUGAAGCUCUCUGUCUACUUGAGAUAAUAGCAAAUUAAUUGGAGGCAAUGAGAAAGUAAGUUAUAAAAAA